rnacentral:rRNA from 1 species
CCAGUUCAGAUUGCAGUCUGCAACUCGACUGCAUGAAGUCGGAAUCGCUAGUAAUCGCGGAUCAGCAUGCCGCGGUGAAUACGUUCCCGGGCCUUGUACACACCGCCCGUCACACCAUGAGAGUCGGGAACACCCGAAGUCCGUAGCCUAACCGCAAGGAGGGCGCGGCCGAAGGUGGGUUCGAUAAUUGGGGUGAAGUCGUAACAAGGUAAC